CAUGCAGUCGAGCGAAGCCUUCGGGCUUAGCGGCGGACGGGUGAGUAACGCGUGGGAACGUGCCCUUCACUACGGAAUAGUCCCUGGAAACGGGGUUUAAUACCGUAUACGCCCUUCGGGGGAAAGAUUUAUCGGUGAAGGAUCGGCCCGCGUCUGAUUAGGUAGUUGGUGGGGUAAUGGCCUACCAAGCCGACGAUCAGUAGCUGGUUUGAGAGGAUGAUCAGCCACACUGGGACUGAGACACGGCCCAGACUCCUACGGGAGGCAGUAGUGGGGAAUAUUGGACAAUGGGGGCAACCCUGAUCCAGCAAUGCCGCGUGUGUGAAGAAGGCCUGCGGGUUGUAAAGCACUUUUAUCGGGGAAGAAUAGGUUGUCGUUAAUAGCGCCAACACUUGACAUUACCCGUUGAAUAAGCACCGGCUAACUCCGUGCCAGCAGCCGCGGUAAUACGGAGGGUGCGAGCGUUAAUCGGAAUUACUGGGCGUAAAGGGUGCGUAGGCGGAAGCUUAAGUCUGAUGUGNAAGCCCCGGGCUUAACCUGGGAAUGGCAUUGGAAACUGGGUUUCUAGAGUGUGGUAGAGGANGAUAGUGGAAUUUCCAGUGUAGCGGUGAAAUGCGUANAUAUUGNNAAGAACACCGAUGGCGAAGNAGCUAUCUGGGNCAACACUGACNCUGAGGUACGAAAGCGUGGGGAGCAACAGGAUUAGAUCCCUGGUAGUCCACGCCCUAAA
rnacentral:rRNA from 1 species